rnacentral:rRNA from 1 species
GAUGAACGCUAGCGGCAGGCUUAAUACAUGCAAGUCGAGGGGCAGCAUGAAGUAGCAAUACUUUGAUGGCGACCGGCAAACGGGUGCGGAACACGUACACAACCUUCCUUUAAGUGGGGAAUAGCCCAGAGAAAUUUGGAUUAAAUACCCCCGUAACACAACGAAGUGGCAUCACUUUGUUGUUANAGUUUCGACGCUUAAUGAUGGGUGUGCGUAUGAUUAGAUAGUUGGCGAGGUAACGGCUCACCAAGUCUACGAUCAUUAGCUGAUGUGAGAGCAUGAUCAGCCACACGGGCACUGAGACACGGGGCCCGACUCCUACGGGAGGCAGCAGUAAGGAAUCUUAGACAAUGGGGGAAACCCUGAUCUAGCCAUGCCGCGUGAUCGAUGAAGGCCUUAGGGUUGUAAAGAUCUUUCAGAUGGGAAGAUAAUGACGGUACCAUCAGAAGAAGCCCCGGCUAACUCCGUG